UUUAGCAAGAAAACUACAAGCAAAGAGCCCUUUAGUUUGUAACCCCGAAACUAAGCGAGCUACUCCAAGACAGUCUCUUAAGGACCACCCCGUCUCUGUGGCAAAAGAGUGGGAAGAGCUUCGAGUAGAGGUGAUAAACCUACCGAGCCUAGUUAUAGCUGGUUGCCUGAGAAAUGAAUAGGAGUUCAGCCCUUUAAGUCUUUCCCCCCUCUCCCAUGCUUACGCUAAAAUUGAUCCAGGAAACUAAAGGAGUUAAUCUAAAGGGGUACAGCCCUUUCGAUAAAGAAACAACUUUAACAGGUGGUCUCGGAUCAUAUUACCCAAGGAUUCCAAAUUAAGUGGGCCUAAAAGCAGCCAUCUUGCUAGAAAGCGUUAAAGCUCAAGUUAAUAACAUCCCCAUAUACUGAUAGUACAUUCCCUCCCCCUGCCCCCUACCAGGCUAUUUUAUGCCCCCAUAAAAACAAUUAUGCUAAA
rnacentral:rRNA from 1 species